AUUCAUAGCUCAGAGGCAGAGCAUCUGACCUGCAUGCAGAAAGUCCCAGGUUCAGUUCCUGGCAUGUCCA